AGAACGAACGCUGGCGGCAGGCCUCAAACAUGCAAGUCGAGCGCUGUAGCAAUACAGAGCGGCGGACGGGUGCGUAACACGUGGGAACGUACCCUUUGGUUCGGAACAACUCAGGGAAACUUGAGCUAAUACCGAAUGUGCCCGAAAGGGGAAAGAUUUAUCGCCAAAGGAUCGGCCCGCGUUCGAUUAGCUAGUUGGUAAGGUAACGGCUUACCAAGGCGACGAUCGAUAGCUGGUCUGAGAGGACGAUCAGCCACACUGGGACUGAGACACGGCCCAGACUCCUACGGGAGGCAGCAGUUGGGAAUCUUGGACAAUGGGGGAAACCCUGAUCCAGCCAUGCCGCGUGAGUGAUGAAGGCCUUAGGGUUGUAAAACUCUUUCGGCGGGGACGAUAAUGACGGUACCCGCAGAAGAAGCUCCGGCUAACUUCGUGCCAGCAGCCGC
rnacentral:rRNA from 1 species